rnacentral:lncRNA from 1 species
GGGGCCGGGCGGUGGGCGGGGCGGCAGCGGGGGCUUCCUCAGGCUGUUAGCUGCGGAAUGGUGUAACUUGGCAGAGUUUUGCGUUUUAUUUAUUUAUUUAUUUAUUUAUUUAUUUAUUUAUUUAUUUAUUUCACAUUUGAUAGUGGUCGAAAGACUGACUGAAGUAGAUGUUAAGAUUUACAAUUUAGCCUGGCCAUCUGCUUCCACUCUCCUCCUUGUGGAGGCGUCUGCUGAGGCCGCCAAUGCACCGCGGUCUCCCCCCCCCGAGAUACCCAACAAAUGCAACGCUGGGCUCUGCAGUCCUUCUUUACCUUUCCGACACCAUUGCCCAGCCUGAGUAUUUGCACUUUCUCCCUGGAGUUUAGCAAAUGUCUGAGUGCAGAGAGGGAACCGGCCCACCGUCCCGAAACAGACGAAUAAAUAACUCUGGCGGCGCGCCUCAUACUAGAGCUUGUGCAAGCAAGUGGACCAGAAAUAGCUCAGGGUAGAAGACUCCCAGCGGCGCCAUAGGAAGAAUGAGGCACAAGCCAAUUUUGUACCCUGAAACGGACAUUCCCCGGCUGGAAAAAGCUUGAGUAAAAAGAUUUACUCCCCUCCAGCUUCCCUCAGAAAAGAGCAGGCCUCCCAGGGACAUCGAUCAAAUACGGCAUAUUUAAAUAGGCACAUCCAUCGCACCACAUCAAGGUUGGACGAGGCAAUUCAGUAAGGGAAAUGGUCCCAUAAGCAGGCAAAAGAAUCGGGGACAGCCCCCACUCCCAUGGUUAGGAUUCCCACAGAACCACCAAGCUACUCAGACAUAACACAGAAGCUCUGGCUAGUUUUUAUGUCAACUUGACAGGAGCCAGAGUCAUCUGAAAGGAGGGAACUGCAACUGAGAAAAUGCCUGUCAUAAGAUGCUGAUCAGCUGGGCUGAAGAAUCAGCUGUGAUUCACUGAAGUCAAAUCUCCUGGGAAGUGUUUCCUCAGAAGCCGUGCUCCAGAGGUGGCCAAGGUUGAACCUCAUGCCGGCAGCCGAACUUGGUUGCGUAAGAGUGACCCAGCUGAUAACUGCUUUAAAGGUAUAAAGGGAUCAUGGACAGCAGCUGAGGCUUGACCCUGUGUGGCAGGCCUGGAGUCCCUGAAAAGAGCCCAGGAGAGGUUAAAGGUGAAAGUGCAGCCCAGCUCCUGUAGAAGAGUCCAGCAUUUUGGAGAUGCCAGUACCAGGGGACAACCUCCAAGAACAGCAGCAGGUGUGGAGUGGAGCCAGCCUGAGCCUAGAAGACAUGUUCUGUGUGCUACAGAGGACAGAGCCAGAGAAGUGACCAGGCCCUUUGGAGGAGCUCAGAAGAUCAGGAGAGACGUCCAGACAUUGGAGGCUGAGUCAUUUACUGUUGGAACUUGGUUUUGCUUUGCUCAGGCUAUCUGUGGGCUGGUUCUUCUCUCUUGAGGUAAUAAAGUAACUUAUAUUUUAUUUUACAGGA